GCAUAUCAAUAAGCGGAGGAAAAGAAAAUAACAAUGAUUCCCCUAGUAACUGCGAGUGAAGAGGGACAAGCUCAGAUUUUAAAUCUGUUUGGUCUUACCAAACCGAGUUGUAAUUUGAAGAAAAUGUUUUCUGUGUCUUGAAUUAAUUUAAAUCCUCUGGAAUGAGGUAUCAUGGAGGGUGACAAUCCCGUUCGUGGUUAAUUUUAAGACACUUUAUGAUACGUUUUCGAAGAGUCGAGUUGUUUGGGAUUGCAGCUCAAAAUGGGAGGUAAAUUUCUCCUAAGGCUAAAUAUUGGCGAGAGACCGAUAGCGAACAAGUACCGUGAGGGAAAGAUGAAAAGAACUUUGAAAAGAGAGUUAAACAGUACGUGAAAUUGUUGAAAGGGAAACGAUUGAAGUCAGUCGUACCAGCGGGAAAUCAACCUUUCGAGUGGUAUUUUGGAGUUUUUUAAGAGUCUUAAAAACCUUUGAGAUUUCAAAAUUUCUGCUCUUUUGGUGUACUUUCUCGUAUGUAGGUCAACAUCGAUUUUGAUCAUCAUAAAAAGAUUAGAGGAAUGUAGCUUCGAUCUUGUAUUGAAGUGUUAUAGCCUUUGGUAAAUGUGAUGUUCAAGAUCGAGGAUUGCAACGAAUAUCCUUUUGGGCUAUUCGUCUGAUCUCUGAUACGUGGCCUUGGUAUCGAAAGCGUGCUUACGGUAUUAAGGUAUUACGGUCAAAAGGUUAGAACGGAUUACAUUCGUUAAGGAUGUUGACGUA
rnacentral:rRNA from 1 species